CUGAUUCCCUUUUUUGUGCCCAAGGAUGGACCUCCCACCAGAUGGUGCAUAUGGCCCACCAUUUGCACCUUCUCCACUGUCCAUUAAGACCGUGUGGGUCGUGAGCACCUUGAAUAGCCCCGCCAAAAUCUGUUUGGUCCGGUACCGUCAGCUUUUAGAUUGUAUGCAUCCAAAGCAGGUGGUGUGGCAACCAUAUGAAGUUGAAUUAGCCCGCCUGCCUGCGUUCUAUGUCGCUGGAUGGGAGGU